GAUGAACGCUAGCUACAGGCUUAACACAUGCAAGUCGCGGGGCAGCAUGGGGGUUGCUUGCAAUCCCCGAUGGCGACCGGCGCACGGGUGAGUAACGCGUAUUCAACCUGCCCUUCACCACGGGAUAACCCGGCGAAAGUCGGACUAAUACCGUAUGUUGUCCAUUGACGGCAUCCGAUUUGGACGAAAGGCUUGGCGGUGAGGGAUGGGGAUGCGUCCGAUUAGCCAGACGGCGGGGUAACGGCCCACCGUGGCUACGAUCGGUAGGGGUUCUGAGAGGAAGGUCCCCCACACUGGAACUGAGACACGGUCCAGACUCCUACGGGAGGCAGCAGUGAGGAAUAUUGGGCAAUGGGCGUAAGCCUGAACCAGCCAAGUAGCGUGCAGGAUGACGGCCCUAUGGGUUGUAAACUGCUUUUAUGCGGGGAUAAAGUGGCCCACGUGUGGGCUUUUGCAGGUACCGCAUGAAUAAGGACCGGCUAAUUCCGUG
rnacentral:rRNA from 1 species